rnacentral:rRNA from 1 species
GAUGAACGCUGGCGGCGUGCCUAAUACAUGCAAGUCGAGCGGACCAAAGAGAGCUUGCUCUCUGAGGUUAGCGGCGGACGGGUGAGUAACACGUGGGUAACCUGCCUGUAAGACGGGGAUAACUUCGGGAAACCGAAGCUAAUACCGGAUGAUAAAGAGAAACGCCUGUUUCUUUUUUGAAAGUCGGCCUUGUGCUGACGCUUACAGAUGGGCCCGCGGCGCAUUAGCUAGUGGGUGAGGUAACGGCUCACCAAGGCGACGAUGCGUAGCCGACCUGAGAGGGUGAUCGGCCACACUGGGACUGAGACACGGCCCAGACUCCUACGGGAGGCAGCAGUAGGGAAUCUUCGGCAAUGGACGAAAGUCUGACCGAGCAACGCCGCGUGAGCGAUGAAGGCCUUCGGGUCGUAAAGCUCUGUUGUCAGAGAAGAACAAGUACCGGAGUAACUGCCGGUACCUUGACGGUACCUGACCAGAAAGCCACGGCUAACUACGUGCCAGCAGCCGCUGUAA